rnacentral:rRNA from 1 species
UACGUAGGACCCAAGCGUUAUCCGGAUUUACUGGGCGUAAAGAGUUGCGUAGGUGGUAAUGUAAGCGAAUAGUGAAAUCGUCUCGCUCAACGGGGCGGCUGUUAUUCGAACUGCAUAACUUGAGUGCGAGAGAGGUAGCUGGAAUUUCUAGUGUAGGAGUGAAAUCCGUAGAUAUUAGAAGGAACACCAAUGGCGAAGGCAGGCUACUGGCUCGUUACUGACACUGAGGCACGAAAGCGUGGGGAGCAAACGGG